rnacentral:rRNA from 1 species
AACGCUGGCGGCGUGCUUAACACAUGCAAGUCGAACGAUGAAGCCGCUUCGGUAGGUGGAUUAGUGGCGAACGGGUGAGUAACACGUGGGCAAUCUGACCUUCACUCUGGGACAAGCCCUGGAAACGGGAUCUAAUACCGUAUAACACUCUGUCCCGCAUGGGACGGGGUUAAAAGCUCCGGCGGUGAAGGAUGAGCCCGCGGUCUAUCAGCUUGUUGGUGGGGUAAUGGCCUACCAAGGCGACGACGGGUAGCCGGCCUGAGAGGGCGACCGGCCACACUGGGACUGAGACACGGCCCAGACUCCUACGGGAGGCAGCAGUGGGGAAUAUUGCACAAUGGGCGAAAGCCUGAUGCAGCGACGCCGCGUGAGGGAUGACGGCCUUCGGGUUGUAAACCUCUUUCAGCAGGGAAGAAGCGAAAGUGACGGUACCUGCAGAAGAAGCGCCGGCUAACUACGUGCCAGCAGCCGCG